rnacentral:rRNA from 1 species
UGGCUCAGGAUGAACGCUAGCUACAGGCUUAACACAUGCAAGUCGAGGGGCAGCAUUUCAGUUUGCUUGCAAACUGGAGAUGGCGACCGGCGCACGGGUGAGUAACACGUAUCCAACCUGCCGAUAACUCGGGGAUAGCCUUUCGAAAGAAAGAUUAAUACCCGAUGGUAUAAUCAGACCGCAUGGUCUUGUUAUUAAAGAAUUUCGGUUAUCGAUGGGGAUGCGUUCCAUUAGGCAGUUGGUGAGGUAGCGGCUCACCAAACCUUCGAUGGAUAGGGGUUCUGAGAGGAAGGUCCCCCACAUUGGAACUGAGACACGGUCCAAACUCCUACGGGAGGCAGCAGUGAGGAAUAUUGGUCAAUGGGCGCAGGCCUGAACCAGCCAAGUAGCGUGAAGGAUGACUGCCCUAUGGGUUGUAAACUUCUUUUAUAUGGGAAUAAAGUUUUCCACGUGUGGAAUUUUGUAUGUACCAUAUGAAUAAGGAUCGGCUAACUCCGUGCCAGCAGCCGCGGUAAUACGGAGGAUCCGAGCGUUAUCUGGAUUUAUUGGGUUUAAAGGGAGCGUAGGUGGACAGUUAAGUCAGUUGUGAAAGUUUGCGGCUCAACCGUAAAAUUGCAGUUGAUACUGGCUGUCUUGAGUACAGUAGAGGUGGGCGGAAUUCGUGGUGUAGCGGUGAAAUGCUUAGAUAUCACGAAGAACUCCGAUUGCGAAGGCAGCUCACUGGACUGCAACUGACACUGAUGCUCGAAAGUGUGGGUAUCAAACAGGAUUAGAUACCCUGGUAGUCCACACAGUAAACGAUGAAUACUCGCUGUUUGCGAUAUACAGUAAGCGGCCAAGCGAAAGCAUUAAGUAUUCCACCUGGGGAGUACGCCGGCAACGGUGAAACUCAAAGGAAUUGACGGGGGGCCCGCACAAGCGGAGGAACAUGUGGUUUAAUUCGAUGAUACGCGAGGAACCUUACCCGGGCUUAAAUUGCAUUUGAAUAAUCUGGAAACAGGUUAGCCGCAAGGCAAAUGUGAAGGUGCUGCAUGGUUGUCGUCAGCUCGUGCCGUGAGGUGUCGGCUUAAGUGCCAUAACGAGCGCAACCCUUAUCUUUAGUUACUAACAGGUCAUGCUGAGGACUCUAGAGAGACUGCCGUCGUAAGAUGUGAGGAAGGUGGGGAUGACGUCAAAUCAGCACGGCCCUUACGUCCGGGGCUACACACGUGUUACAAUGGGGGGUACAGAAGGCAGCUACCUGGUGACAGGAUGCUAAUCCCAAAAGCCUCUCUCAGUUCGGAUCGAAGUCUGCAACCCGACUUCGUGAAGCUGGAUUCGCUAGUAAUCGCGCAUCAGCCAUGGCGCGGUGAAUACGUUCCCGGGCCUUGUACACACCGCCCGUCAAGCCAUGAAAGCCGGGGGUACAUAAAGUACGUAACCGCAAGGAGCGUCCUAGGG